UACAGAGGUCUCAAGCGUUGUUCGGAUUCAUUGGGCGUAAAGGGCGCGUAGGCGGCAAGGCAAGUCGGGUGUGAAAUCCCUCGGCUCAACCGAGGAACUGCACUCGAUACUGGCUGGCUAGAGUCCGGGAGGGGAUGGUGGAAUUCCCAGUGUAGCGGUGAAAUGCGUAGAUAUUGGGAAGAACACCGGUGGCGAAGGCGGCCAUCUGGACCGGAACUGACGCUGAGGCGCGAAAGCCAGGGGAGCGAACGGG
rnacentral:rRNA from 1 species